GAAUCAACGCUGGCGGCGUGCCUAACACAUGCAAGUCGAACGCGAAAGCCCGCAAGGGUAAGUAGAGUGGCGCACGGGUGAGUAACACGUGGACAACCUGCCUUCGAGUGGGGAAUAACCUUCCGAAAGGAGGGCUAAUACCGCAUAACACCUCGGGACACAAGUUCUGGGGUUGAAAAGAGCAAUUUGCUCGAAGAGGGGUCCGCGCCUGAUUAGCUAGUUGGUGAGGUAACGGCUCACCAAGGCUUCGAUCAGUAGCCGUCCUGAGAGGGAGCACGGCACACUGG
rnacentral:rRNA from 1 species